UACGGAGGAUGCGAGCGUUAUCCGGAUUUAUUGGGUUUAAAGGGUGCGUAGGCGGCCGAGUAAGUCAGCGGUGAAAUUUUGCAGCUUAACUGUAACAGUGCCGUUGAUACUGCCAGGCUAGGAUUUGGUUGCUGUGGGUGGAAUGUGUGGUGUAGCGGUGAAAUGCUUAGAUAUCACACAGAAUAUCGAUUGCGAAGGCAGCUCACAAAGCCAAGAUUGACGCUGAGGCACGAAAGUGUGGGGAUCAAACA
rnacentral:rRNA from 1 species